GGCGCUGUGGUGCAACAGGUUAAAGCUCUGGCCUGAAAUGCCAGUAUCCCAUAUGGGCAUGGGUUCUAGUCCCAGCUGCUCCU
rnacentral:tRNA from 1 species